rnacentral:rRNA from 1 species
GACAGAGGGUGCAAACGUUGUUCGGAAUUACUGGGCGUAAAGCGCGUGUAGGCGGCCCUGCAAGUCGGGUGUGAAAUCCCACGGCUCAACCGUGGAAGUGCACUCGAAACUGCAGGGCUAGAGUCCUGGAGAGGAAGGUGGAAUGCUUGGUGUAGAGGUGAAAUUCGUAGAUAUCAAGCGGAACACCGGUGGCGAAGGCGGCCUUCUGGACAGUGACUGACGCUGAGACGGCGAAAGCGUGGGGAGCAAACAGGAU